GCUCGUUUUUUUAGAGGGAGGUUUUCACGCCGUGGUGUUCCCCACCUCUGCCCUCUCCGGCCAGUGGUCAAGGCUCAGUGGCGUGCCGCGCUGAUACACCUUCGUGCAGCUCGGUGCCCUCUGAGAUUUAUGUGUUGAUACGCCUUGCCACUGGAGUAUAAUAUGUUCUCCAUCACAACGGGUGUCCCAUAGGCUUUGGUCCCUUUUUUGUCGCUGAAAAAGAUGGAAGAGAUAGGGAAGUUUGAUCAGAUAUCUACCGUAUGUUGCUACCAGUGCUUGAGAAUGAUCUAAGGGAAAUUGUUGACGGCGGCUCGUUGUUGUUGUUGUUGUUGUAUUUGGGGAUCUGGGUGGUUGUGUUGCCAGGUGCAUCCUGGUGGCGGCAGAUAUGUUUUGAGGUUCGUUGCCAGAGCUAGUUUGUUGGUAUCAUCCCGUGGGUGGUGGGCGCUAUGGUGCGGUGGUUCCGGCUAAGGUUCUCGACGGUGCUUGGAUUCGUCGAUUUGGAUGUUUUUUUUUUUACCGUGUUGGCAUCACACUUAUGCGUUCUUGCUCCUCGUGAUUUAUCUAGUCUUAGGGGAUUUGAAAGGGA